ensembl:lncRNA
GUUGGCUCACGGUUCUAUAGUUCUGUGUAGAACUGUGUUCCUUCACAGUCUCUUCAGUUUUUUUAAACAUAAAGAAAAACCACUGAAUGAGAAGGUGUGUCAUGUUCACCAAGUUAAAGGUUGUAGUUUGUGUGUAAGAUGUCUUGUAAUAAACUAUGAGUGAUUUUAUAUCUGCAGGUAACAUUAUUAACAUAAUGAAAAAUGUCACAGUAGCAUUUUUUUCCCUUUGUCCAGGUUAAAGGUGGCAGAUUUGUGCACUUCACUGUCUCAGUAAAGUCAUAUUAGGUCAUGGUUGAGUUUCUUUCUACUGUAUGUCUGUAGUUUUCACACAGUAUCUGAAUAACAGAUGAACAGUAAAGUAUGAUGCAGUUCCAGCAGGUCCUGCUGGUAACAGUUUUAAACCCUAGACUGUGCUGUAAGGCUGUGAUUAGACAGUCUGCAGGAGCACCACAUGCAUAUUUAGACUGACUGAACUGCGAAAAUACGAACGUGUUCAUGUUCUGAGCAUUUCAGUAGCUGCUCUUUACAGACGGUCCCUCUCGCUCUCUUUAGCACAGCUGCAGUGGUUCCAGUCAUCCAGGCUCCGAGGUGGGGGUGAAGGAAAGUUGGAGAGGAUGUUGGCUGGUCGUGUAAAGGAUCCGGCUCAUUAAAAAAUCAAACAUAAAGAAGAAAUAAUCUGAUUCAGAGGAAGAGGCCAGACUCACCUGACCCCAGCUGUGAGUCCAAGAAGAGUGAUGAGUCAAUGGACCGUCCAGUUCAGUUCAGAGGGGAGGACAGUUCUGCUGGACUGAGUCUGAUUCAGAGGAAGAGGCCAGACUCACCUGACCCCAGCUGUGUGUCCAUGAAGACUGUCAAGUCGAUGGGAGAACCAUUAUAUUUCAGAGGGGAGGACAGUUCUGCUGGACUGAGUCUGAUUCAGAGGAAGAGGCCAGACUCACCUGACCCCAGCUGUGUGUCCAUGAAGAGUGACGAGUCAAUGGACCAUCCAAAUGUGUUCAGAGGGGAGGACAGUUCUGCUGUGCCGAGGUAAAGAUGGCUUUAACAGUGAAGAACAGUGUAGAGCUCCUGUCCACAAGGUGGAGCACACUUACCCUCAGGGCUACAGCCAGUGACGCUGUGGAUAUAUCAGACAAUUUCAGCUUUA